rfam:Schistosoma haematobium scaffold904_2, whole genome shotgun sequence.
ACCUAUUUGACGAGUCUAAAAUAGGAAGAAACGCGUGUCCUGGAU